GACAGAGGUCCCGAGCGUUAGGCGGAAUCACUGGGCUUAAAGCGUGUGUAGGCGGAUCGUUAAGUACCUUGUGAAAUCCCACGGCUUAACCGUGGAACUGCUUGGUAUACUGGCGAUCUUGAGCCACUUAGGGGCUACCGGAACAAAUGGUGGAGCGGUGAAAUGCGUAGAUAUCAUUUGGAACGCCAAUGGUGAAAACAGGUAGCUGGGAGUGUGCUGACGCUGAGACACGAAAGCCAGGGUAGCAAACGGG
rnacentral:rRNA from 1 species